rnacentral:rRNA from 1 species
GACGAACGCUGGCGGCGUGGAUUAGGCAUGCAAGUCGAACGGUAUCAUCCUUUCGGGGGUGAGAGAGUGGCGAACUGGUGAGUAACACGUAGGUUAUCUACCCUCAAGACGGGGACAACCCAGGGAAACUUGGGCUAAUACCGGAUGUGAGCAACUUUUAGUUGUUUGAAAGGUGGCGUAAGCUGUCGCUUGGGGAUGAGCCUGCGUCCUAUUAGUUAGUUGGUGAGGUAACGGCUCACCUAGGCAAUGAUAGGUAGGCGGCCUUAACGGGUGGUCGCCCAACACUGGGAUUGAGAUACGGCCCAGACUCCUACGGGAGGCAGCAGUCGAGAAUAGUCUACAAUGGUCGGAAGACUGAUAGUGCGACGCCGCGUGAACGAUGAAUCCCUUCGGGGUGUAAAGUUCUUUUAUAUGUGAGCAGUGCUUCUUAUAUUAACAGUAUGGGGAGAGAGAUAUUAGCAUAUGAAUAAGCAACGGCUAACUCCGUGCCAGCAGCCGCGGUAAA